UUGUUUGUUCAGCCGUAGAUGCCCAAGCGCUGCCAUAUCAAAGCAAGAGCAACAGAAAAGAAGAGAUAAUCAGUGCUUGAAACACAUGAACAAAACCGAAGUGUUCUUGAAUGCUACGGUACUUUACGGGUGCAUAUUGAGCUGUUACGUUAAACUACCAGAGACAAAUCAAGUAACUUCGUUCGAAACAAGCGCUCCUGAUUGGACGAAUUGCGAGAUCAAUCAAGUGUGCAAGGUAUGCAUCGCAGGAUUAUGCGUUUAGAACAAAUAUCUUACUCUUUUGACUGCUGCAGUAGUCAUUAGACUGUCUUGCUCAAUAAAAAUAAUGAAGCAUGAUGAAA